rnacentral:rRNA from 1 species
GAUGAACGCUGGCGGCGUGCCUAAUACAUGCAAGUCGAGCGAACAGACGAGGAGCUUGCUCCUCUGACGUUAGCGGCGGACGGGUGAGUAACACGUGGAUAACCAACCUAUAAGACUGGGAUAACUUCGGGAAACCGGAGCUAAUACCGGAUAAUAUAUUUAACCGCAUGGUUCAAUAGUGAAAGACGGUUUUGCUGUCACUUAUAGAUGGAUCCGCGCCGCAUUAGCUAGUUGGUAAGGUAACGGCUUACCAAGGCAACGAUGCGUAGCCGACCUGAGAGGGUGAUCGGCCACACUGGAACUGAGACACGGUCCAGACUCCUACGGGAGGCAGCAGUAGGGAAUCUUCCGCAAUGGGCGAAAGCCUGACGGAGCAACGCCGCGUGAGUGAUGAAGGUCUUCGGAUCGUAAAACUCUGUUAUUAGGGAAGAACAAAUGUGUAAGUAACUAUGCACGUCUUGACGGUACCUAAUCAGAAAGCCACGGCUAACUACGUG